UACGGAGGGUGCGAGCGUUGUCCGGAAUCACUGGGCGUAAAGGGCGCGUAGGCGGCUCGUUAAGUGGCUGGUGAAAUCCCGGGGCUCAACUCCGGGGCUGCCGGUCAGACUGGCGGGCUCGAGCACGGUAGAGGCGGAUGGAAUUCCCGGUGUAGCGGUGGAAUGCGUAGAGAUCGGGAAGAAUACCGGUGGCGAAGGCGUUCCGCUGGGCCGUUGCUGACGCUGAGGCGCGACAGCGUGGGGAG
rnacentral:rRNA from 1 species